GAGGCAGAGAAAGAAAUGCUCCUAUUCACAAACACCGGGUUAUCAUUAGGUCACUAAGCGUUACCCAGUGGCACUCACGCCGGCAAGCCACAGAGGCACACCACCUCACCAGGCUGGUGACCGCGUCACAGGCGCAAGGCCGCAACGGUCUCCCUCACACACACGGUAACGCACGACACGGUCACGCGCAGGCGCCCACGAGCAAGCUAUCACGGCCUCACACGUUCAACCCUCGUAGCAACACGUCACAAAGACACACGCUCUAAGCAGCAGCCUGCAAGACACACCGGCGGACGGACACAGACCUGACAAACCGGGCACGCAGGGACACACCCUCACACGCAGCCCGGACACAGACGGACACACAGCCGCUGGCGGGCCCGCAUAGGCCGGCCCCUCCGCAACAGCGGGUCGCAGCACCCAGCGGCCCGGGACCGCACAGACGCGCCUAGCCGACCCUAACACGGCUAGCUACGCACGCUGUCGCGUCACCAGACCGCCUGGGCCGCAGUGGCCCCUGGGAAAUGUAGUUGGGGGAAGGGGGAGGCCGGAAACGCUCGGGCGAAGGGCUCUGGGGCUGGUAGUUCAGGAGGGAGAAGCCGGCGCUUCGCGCUGUAACCCGCGCGAGGGGCGCCCGCCCCGCCCUGGAGCCGAAGCCCCGCCCCGCCGCGCCCCGCCCCGGAGCCGAAGCCCCGCCCCGCGGUCCCGCUCAGCCCGCUAGGGCUGCGCAGCGGCGUUCCCGCACGGAGCGGGGGCGUAGCGGGAAGGGAAGGGACCAGAGCGCCGGGCAGCGGUGGAAAGGAGGAAGCUCCGUAGGGCGGAGAGGGAGGCUUCCAGAGACCCUCCCACCAGCAGAGCGCGAAGGUGCUGUGGUCAGGAAGCCCCAGAGCUGGGAGCAUCGUCGUGGGAGAGGAGCGCUCUGGUGAUGCUCGUCCGAGGGGAACAGCAAGCCAAGGGACCCGCAGAUGAUGUUAAUUGUGGCAGCUCAUUGCGUUAUAACGGGGCUCAGAGGCUGUAAGAUGAACUUUGGGACGCUCCGUUUCCCUAAUAUCACUCUGUCUCAGAGCAGGCAGAGCUGGAGAAAAAGACUUGUGAGUGCUGCGGACACAACGAAAAUGUCUUCCUGGGGGAGGCGGAGCUCCUGGCUCCCAACUAGGAAGGGAGCCCUCGAGAAAACACUCACUCACUGUGCCCGGGCAACCCAUGAUGCAGAUGCUCUCGAGACAAUGCCCAAGAUUCUAAGCACUUCUAACUGUUCAAGGAGGCCAUGUUCCCAUAUCAUCAAAGUUUACCUCCCUCCAUCCACUCAGAUCAAACAGGAAUAGACUGCUCCAUGCCCUCAAGUUCCUCAUUACCCCGAAGAACGGUCAUGAUUUAUUCCCUAAAAAUUGCAGGCUCCAACUGCUUUACUUUGACCAUUAAUUGAAAAUGGUUCACCCUUCUGUCUGCCAGCCAUGUCUUUUGUCUGCCAUCUUUAGUUCUAAAGAAGUUAUCAAUAAACUUCUUAAGCCAAGUUUACAAUCUACCCACAAAAGAAGACCUCGUUUACAAUUCUUAUUGUAUUCCAUUACACAAUAUAUUUAAACCCAUACUGAAAGCAGAAAGUCAAAUAAUUCCUUUAAGAUGAAGAGCCAUUCAUUAAACCGAUGGAUCCAUUAUUCUCUCAGCUUGCCAUUCUUUCUUUAAAGGCCUCUGGUGAGUCACUGCCACAAAUGACUUUAACUCCUUACAGGAGAGCCUACUAAGGAGUUUUACUAGGUGAAUUUUUAAAAUUCAUCCUUAUUGUGAAACAGACUAAUAAAUACUAAAUUAAUUUUUAUCAACAAAUAAAACAACAAUUCUCUCAGCUUUACAAAGGCUGUGCAUUCAACUUUUAUACACUUGUUAUAUCAUAAGGUUUCUCCUCAGGGUAAAUAAUUAUGCCGUACAAAAGUCUAAGGCUUUCUCACAUGUAUAGCAAACAUGAGGUGAAUGAGUCAGGACUCUAAUUCCAAGAGGCAAAAAUCCAACUCAAAUUAACUUAAGCAAAAAAAGGAAAUUUAUUGGAUCACAAAAAUGAAAAAGUAAAGGAUGGUGUAGACUUCAGGCACGACUGGAUCCAGGAGAUAAAACAAUGUCAUCAGAUUCCUGUGUCUCACGUGCAUUUUCUCUGUGUUGGACAGAUCUUGGGAAGACUUUCCUCAUGGAGUAGCAAAAAGGCUACUGCAGAAAUUUCUUGAAGAGUCGUCACUUGCCUGAAAUGCCUCUCCUGACUUCCCUGAUAUCGCUCAAAUUCACCCUCAUACUUCCAAGGUCCCCUGAAACUGGAGCAUUCGAGGUCAUGACUUGUCAGUCUUCCCAGUACUAUCCUCUGGGAUAUUUCCUCUUCAUCAACGAACCAUUUUGGAGAUAAUUCCUUGAUUUCAUACCAAGACUCCCAGUCUGAAAAAUAUCAAGAAAGCAAAUGUCUUCUAGUUUCCCUUUGCAAGGAGAAAGAAAACUGUUAGGGAAGAAACUGAAAAUUUAACUGAGAGAAGGAGGGGGAAAUGUACAUGGGAUGACAUCUCUCAAAUUACAAUAUGAACAAAAUACAAAGAAA